AUACGGAGGAUCCGAGCGUUAUCCGGAUUUAUUGGGUUUAAAGGGUGCGCAGGCGGGAGAUUAAGUCGGCGGUGAAAUUUUGCAGCUCAACUGUAAAAGUGCCUUCGAAACUGGUUUCCUUGAGUGUAGAUGAAGUAGGCGGAAUUUGUGGUGUAGCGGUGAAAUGCAUAGAUAUAACGAGGAACUCCGAUUGCGCAGGCAGCUUACUAAACUACUACUGACGCUCAGGCACGAAGGCGUGGGGAUCAAACAGGAUUAGAUACCCUGGUAGUCCACGCAGUAAACGAUGAUUACUCGCUGUUUGCGAUACACAGUAAGCGGCUUAGCGAAAGCGUUAAGUAAUCCACCUGGGGAGUACGGUCGCAAGAAUGAAACUCAAAUGAAUUGACGGGG
rnacentral:rRNA from 1 species